ensembl:lncRNA
GGAAUGGGCAAGGGAGCUCUCUGCGGCCUCUUUUAUAGGGGCUCUGAUCCCAGUGAUGAGGUCUCCGCCCUCAUGACCUAAUCACCUCCCAAAGCCUUCACUCCUAAAGCCAUCACCUCAGGGCUCAGUAUUUCAUUAUAUGAAUGGGGGGGGGGGCAUAAGCGUUCAGACUGCAGCACCUCCCAUUCCUGCGCCUCUACAGUAUCCGUGCCGUGUGAAGACAUCGGCGGGCUCCCUCCAGCUUUCUCCAGUGUGAAGGAUGUGCCAGAAAGGAGCCUCUGACCCUGAAUCUCUCUCACUCAGGAGAUGUCAGAGUCCGUGUUCCUUGGCCGACUCAUGGGUACUUGCAACACAAGUGCUUAGAUUCAGCUGGACUCAGUUGUGACAUCCCAGAGUUGUGGUCCACUCGUGGGGAAGAGCAAGGAACUCACAGUCCCGCUGCCCCAUCCCUUUGAUGUGGCCACUGUGUGCGCUUGCCCGGGGAGCCCACAGGCCGUCUGCUCUCUCUACACAGUCCCUACCAGCAGCACAUGUGGCUGCGGCCUUGAAACCAGCACCGGCGCUCAGAGUUCCAAGAAACGCUCAGUUCCUGGCGCCCUGUGGCCUCUCCACAUGCUCCCCAGGCACUCUCUAAGUGGGCUCUUUCUCUUGGCUCAGAGGGGCUUUGGACACAGAGGAACCACAUGUCCAGAAACCUGGGCCAUUUAAAGGUGUAAUGUAUGGACCUGUCAGCUGGAGAAGAGAGUUGGGGUGCCUGUUCCCACAUGGAGCUUUGACACCAUGCUCAGGAUUGAGGAUUAUUAUAACCUCCCCCAGUCUUGCUCCUUCCUGUAGCUCCCGAACGACCACCUCAAGGGCAGCCCACAGCCACUGCUGCUGGUGUCUUCAUAUUUUCUUUCUUCUGAAUCUGUGCUCUGCAACCUGGCCUCUGCUCCCCGCACUUACUGAAGUGUCUUGCUCCCCGCGAAUGACCUCCUUUAAAAAAACUGCCAUGUCUUUCCUCGGGCCUCACUUUCUUCCAAGGCUGUUGCUGUUGACACCCCACUGCCGUCAUCCCUGCCCCCGUUCCUCAGGAAGCUCUCCCUAGAGGUCGCCUGAGGCAGCCUGGCCUGGUUCCCUUAGCUCCUGGGCAGAUCCUCCGGGUACCCUUGGCUGGACCUCUCCCCCGCACCCCGACAAGCAGACUCUGGGGCAUGCGCGUGAUGUCUUCGCUUUUCAGAGCAGUCACUACACGGGUGACGUCUAGAUUGGAAUCUCUAGCCCUGACUCCUUUCUGAGUCAUAGUUGCCAUCUAGACGUUUCAGCUUGGGGAUCUCUUCAAAUUCCCUGUGACCAACAGCGGCCUUAUUUCCCCCACAUCCUCACGCGAGUGUCUCUUAGGGGGGCAUCUCUUUCAGUGAUCUGAUCUCAUAGACUAGAGACAACUUUACACUUGCAUGUCUUCCAUCUCCUUGAAAGUGUCCCCAAGUUCUGCUUUACUUUCUGAAAAGUCUAGAUUUACCCCUAGCGUCUAUGCUUGCCGCCUCUGGCAACAGCUUCCACUCUGGUGCCCCACUGCUGGGCUGAAGUACAAUUUUUCCUCUCACCCUCUGCUCAGAAACCUUAAGUGGCUCCUUCUGGCCGAUGAUGGAUGAAGACCAGGUUCUUCUGCUCGGAUUCCAAAGCCCCGUGUAAUCUGACCCCAACCUACCGCAUCUAAGCGUGUUCCCCACACUCUCACUAGACGUCGUGGAACGUCUCUUCAAGGCACUGGCCUGGGUUCCAGGGGAAUCAAAACACGAGGAAGAUGGCAGAGCUGGGAUGCCGAGAAUGACUUGAGAUGAUGGACACUCAGGAACAGAAUGACUCUGAAGCAUCGAAAAGGCAGCAAACCUGGAGCUGUUUGCAAAUCUUCUUGAGUUCCCCUUUAAAACUCACCAGCAAAUGCUGACCUGGGAAUUUCAAAACAGUAGACUGAAAUGAAGAUGCCAUCUCACCUCCUGGACUUGAACUUUAUGGCCCUGCAAUGGAGCCAUCCUACUCCGAGGUGCGUCCACACUGUAACUGGAACGAAUGGCCUUCGAGAGCUGAUAGCUGAAACCCAUUCUUCUUUGUGAAAUGAAUAUCUGCAGCCUGCACAAUCUUGGUCCACUUUAGAAGGGGACUGUCCAAAAAAAAUUGAAUUGUUUAAUAUUUAAACUACAUAUUUUCCCCUUAUUUUCAUGGUAAACUUGGCAGACUCAGUGAAUGUCAUAAUCGUGUUCAGAGUCCAAAAGUCAUUUCAUAGUAUUUAAUUCAAGUAUAAAAGAUUCAGUGUCCUGAUCCAAGGUUAUCUUGCCAACUUCUUUGGAUGUUAUGCCGUGGCCAAGGAUACUACUUGGUACUGUGGGUGACACCCACAGAAUUUGCACAGACCAUAAAGCUAACCAUCAGCUCCAGCACACCACUAGAGCAUCAAGCCCGGCUGUGGCCAUCUGAGGGCCACCAGGAUGAUGGAGAAGGGAUGACCCAAUCCCCCGGCUGGGCUUGCGUGUUUUCCUCUUGGAUGAAAGGAUGCUAAGUAUUAGGUUUGGCUGCCCCGCACCCCCACCAAGGCCCCGAAAUGGUCUGGGGUGGGAUCAGUCUCAUACUCACCAUACUCUGGGCUGGAACUUGCUCUAAGAUGGGAACUGUGUCUUUAUGUUUCCAGAGACUUGUGCCGUGCCUGGCUCAGAGUACACACCUAUUGGCUGAUGAAUAAGGAAUAAAUGAAUGUGUGCCGUUUAAGCAAAUGGAAGAUGCAAUGGCUUCUGGCUCUCAAUAUCACACUAUUUUUAUGGAAAUGUUGCAGUAGAAGAAUGUUUCAGCUCACAGGUUGGGAACCCCUGAGCCAGACUUUCAAACAAAGCCUCAAUACAAGAAUUGGAAACUUAGAAGAUUUCCAAGAAAAAGUUCUCUGCUAGAUAAACUGACAGUGUUGCUUCAAUAGGAGUCUUUCUUGUGUUUCUCCCCUUUCCAAAUUCUUGGUGCUUUAAGCUGGCCCUAAAUCUGUAGCCUUUGCUCUAAAAUUUGGAGCCCCCAAAAGAGCUAUGCUAUGGUAUGUGCCAAAUUAAGUAAACUGCAAUACCUAAAUAUGAAUAUAAAUGCCUGCACAUAAAUAUCAAAGUUUAUUGGGCAACUUGUAACAACUUCAACAAAUGGUGUAUGACAGUAAAAAUAUGGUAAUGACAUUGAAGCCAUUUUUUUGUUUGAAAAGAAAAUUACUGUUUUCUAUAGAUAAUAGCACACACAUAAUAGCAUACCCCAUCAGGCAGCCUUUCCCAUUUUGCUUUCCUUUCAAACAGAUGAGUGAUGAGAUGGAUCUUGGCACACUGGACAUUGUCUAUAUUGCAAUAAACAUUCAUGAAAACAGCAAGGCCCCUGAGGCAUUUUAAGAGCACCCACAGCACUGUCCCUCUCAGUGGCCCCAAUGAUCUUUUCUGGGUCUUGCACAUGGUGCCUGGAGAGAUCUGACAGAGGUGUGGCCCAUUAGGGGAUUUCCCAGAGCCAGCUCUGACUCUUAGAUUAUAUUCCAUUGAUGUCUAGAUCCAAGAUCUUUCCUCUCCAUGGAGGAAUUCUGAAAGUAUAUGCUCUCAGCCCAGCCUUACUGUGUCAUUCUAGAAGAAAAUUCAACCUGAUUUGCAUGGUAUUGUAACAUGGAGAUGAAAUUUCCCCACUUGCCUUAACUACUGGUGGAAACUCCUACAGCCAGCAACGAACUUUGCUUGUUCCCUUCCUGUGACCCUUAUCAGUCUGUCUGGUAAGAUACAUAGUUGUGCGCAUCUUAUCACAUCUUAGACUGCUUUCAUAUUUACUGGUUCUUUAUGUAAAUGUUUUCUUCAGCCCUUGCUUUGAAGGUCAGGAGACUUGGAUUUGAAUGCUGGCUUCACUACUACUAGCCGUGAAAAGUUGGACAAGUUAUUUCCUCUCCCUUAGCUUUAGUUGUCGCAGCUGCAAAAUAGGGAGAAUAACGUUUCUGCCUCCAUGGGUUGAUUGAAGAUAAAUGAGACACCACUUGUGACAUGCUCAGCAUGAUGGCUGGCUCAUCGUAACAACCGAGAAGUGUCAUCUGUCAUUAGUCAUGAUACUCUUGGUAGAACCAAGAUUUCACCCUAGAUCUUUCCUCCUCAGGGAGGAACUCUGAGUGUCUGCUCUCAGCCCAACUCUAAUUGUACUGCUGAAGCCCAAGCUCCCUCUCCCAGGGCCGCAGAUGCUUCAGGUCUGCAGCCUUGCCACAGCGUCACUCUGCUCUGCUACUUUUCCAUGUCACGGAGUCAGUGCAAUGUGCCGAUAGAUUUGUAUAAUGAAGACUUGAGUCCCUUGAAUGACUCAAGUUCUUGUAUUAGGAAGAUUAAGCUAACCUCAGGCUGUUCCUAACCUCUCUUCCCCAUUCUCUCUUCCCCAUCCUCAGCCCCUCAGGAGGUCCAGAUGGAAAAAUGUGUUAUUGUCCAUCCAACAACAAAUAUUUCUGAGCGAUGACUUUGCUCAAGAUACCACGCUGAGCCCAUGGCAUUUAAACAGGAGAGUGAGGCACAGUCUUUGCCUUUCAGGACCCUACGGUCCAUGUUGCCAAGAUGGGGUGCAGUGUUAAAAGGCAGCUGACAACACUGGAGGGUUCUAAGUGUUAACGGGGUGGUGCAAAGGAAAAUAGGGUUGAAGGAAAGGAAAGAUCAAUGUAGCUGGAAGAGUCAGGUCUGGGGCUGAUGGCCCUUGGCCUCAAGCAAGACCCUGAAGAGGAAUUUGCUGUCUUGGUGUUCUCCAUGUUGGAGAAAAGAAUACUUCCUUUGUUGAUUGACUCUAGUAGGGAUUAAAGAAGAUUUAUACCAAAUUGAAACAAGCAAAAUCUGGAAGUGAGCUCAAGAAGGUGCAGUGAUUUAUGAAUCUCACCUUGAGAUCUUCAUUUUAAAGAUGAUCAGCAUGAGCAGGCCUUGCCUGAAGGCAAAUAUUAACUAGUCUAAUUAUUGGACCUAAAAAGCAAUUCCAGUCUUGAUGAUGUUUGUAUCCUAUUUUACACAAAGACUAGAUGCACUAAAUCUAUAGCUCUUUCUUUCGACAUCAAGAGUCUGCGUAAAAAUGUUGGCUUUAAUAAUAUUUUUAUUAAAAUUACAUAAACACAGAAAAAUUCACUGGUCAUAAAGUACAGCUUUGUGCAUUUACUCCAGUGGACACACCUGUGUAACCACGGUUCAGUUCAAGAAAGAGAACAUUUCUCUCCCAUGCUCCCUCAUAGUCAUCAAAGGUAACCACUUUCCUGACUCCUACAGCAUCGAUUGCUUUCACCUGUUUUUGAACUUUAUGUAAAUGGAACCACCCAGUACCUAUCAUUUUACGUCCAGUUUCUUCCUCCCAACAUCACAUCUGUAAGAUUCACAUGGGAGUUGAUUCACUUGCUGUGCUGUAUCGUAUUCCAUAAUAUGAGUACAGCACAUUUUGUUUAUCCAUUCUACUGUUGAGGGACAUUUGAGUUGUUCCUUCUUUGGGCUAUUAUAAGUAAUGAUGC